UGCCCUCCUCUGAACUUGUUCCAAUUUGCCUGCGUCCUCCUUAAAGUGCAGCUGAUAAGCAAGAGUUCCCUACUGUGGGGUGCUGCUGAGAGGGGAUUUGGCAUGUGAUGUGAGGCUUGGUGAGGCCUGGUGGGAAGAAAGAGAGGACAGGCAGGAAGGGCACCUUACCUUCCCCAGCAGUACAUCUCCAGGCUUCAGCCAAUCUGGCCGAUCAUUGUGGGUUUAGAUGGAUACAACUGGGACUCAUGCAUGCAAGUGCGCCUACUCCUAGGCUGGUGUGCACCAAGCAGCAUCCUCUGCUCCUUCCUCACAAGAAAGCCUGGGCUAUAAACCUGUACCUUUUGAACACUUCUGAACCUGUGCCCUUAGUUUCCCUUGGAGCAACUGAGUUGAAACGUCUUCUAAGGAUCAGGGACAAUUGACUAUUUAAGUGAGCUGCUCAGUGGCUGCCAUCAGUGAAAGACGCAGAUUGGUUUCAGCAAGCACUCAAGACAGGCUCAAUAGUAUAUAAUGGAAGAAGCAGAGGCAAUUAAAGACUGCAAGAAAAUAUGAAGACAAUUUAUCAUUGGGUGUGGGU